rnacentral:rRNA from 1 species
UGGGGAAUCAUGGUCAAUGGGCGAAAGCCUGAACCUGCGACGCCGCGUGAGUGAUGAAGGUCGUAAGAUCGUAAAACUCUUUUCAGGGAUCUUAAAGGCAGCGCUCUAACAUAGCGUCUGCUGUGACUAUCCCUGGAAUAAGCCCCAGCCAACUACGUGCCAGCAGCUGCGGUAAUACGUAGGGGGCGAGCGUUAUUCGGAAUUACUGGGUGUAACGGGUAUGUAGGCGGCCCUUCAAGUCGCGUGGCAAAGUCCAGUGCUCAACGCUGGGUGUGCACGCGAUACUGACGGGCGUGAGGGCUGGAGAGGUGAGCGGAAUUCCCGGUGUAGUGGUAAAAUACGUAGAGAUCGGGAGGAACACCAGCGGCGCAGGCGGCUCACUAGACAGUUUCUGACGCUAAGAUACGAAAGCGUGGGGAGCAAACA